CUACGGGGUGCUCCAGUGGGGAAUAUUGGACAAUGGGCGAAAGCCUGAUCCAGCAAUGCCGCGUGAGUGAUGAAGGCCUUAGGGUUGUAAAGCUCUUUUACCAGGGAUGAUAAUGACAGUACCUGGAGAAUAAGCUCCGGCUAACUCCGUGCCAGCAGCCGCGGUAAUACGGAGGGAGCUAGCGUUGUUCGGAAUUACUGGGCGUAAAGCGCGCGUAGGCGGCUUUUUAAGUCAGGGGUGAAAUCCCGGAGCUCAACUCCGGAACUGCCCUUGAAACUGGGAAGCUAGAAUAUUGGAGAGGUAAGUGGAAUUCCGAGUGUAGAGGUGAAAUUCGUAGAUAUUCGGAAGAACACCAGUGGCGAAGGCGACUUACUGGACAAUUAUUGACGCUGAGGUGCGAAAGCGUGGGGAGCAAACAGGAUUAGAUACCCCGGUAGUC
rnacentral:rRNA from 1 species